rnacentral:misc_RNA from 1 species
UGGAAAUCAUGUGCUUCAAAAUUGAAUUGAAUUGAUUUAUUAAAAUAUUGAAUAAAUUACUUGUGUCAAAACAAACUUUGUCUGUUUACACUAUUAAAAGGUAUUGUUUUUACUCAAUGACUAUUUAUUUCUUCAGCAAUUCAAGUGUUUUAAGAUCAAGCUGUUUAGACCGAAACUGUUGUGACCAUCAUGUUGGUUUUUUUUUUGUUAAAUAUAUAAUACUCUAGGUACGAUUUGUUGUAACACAUGCGUAAAAAUCAAGAUUCAAUCGUAGAUUUGAAUCAGAUUUCAAUUUUUGGAAUAAACAAUUAAUUUUAAUCAUACAAUGUAUGAAUCUUCAAUUUUUAAAAUGAUUUUCUGUACAGCACUAGUUUCCAAUUUUUUUGGUGAAAGAUUAUAAUUAAGAAAUUAUUCUAUUCUAUCAUAUUAUUCUAAGAUUUGUGCUGUUUUGUUAUUUGGGUUAUUUAGUACUAAGUCUUUAAAUUUACAUUUUAAUAAAUAAAUCCAAAGGUUUAU